GUGGACGCGGAGUGCACGCGCGGUCCAUGCCGAUUCCGAGCACCAGCCACGCCCGCCUGGCGGCUGCUCGCUAUGUUUUGUUAGCC
rnacentral:sRNA from 1 species